rnacentral:rRNA from 1 species
GACAGCGGAUGCAAGCGUUAUCCGAAAUGAUUGGGCGUAAAGCGUCUGUAGGUGGCUUUUCAAGUCCGCCGUCAAAUCCCAGGGCUCAACCCUGGACAGGCGGUGGAAACUACCAAGCUGGAGUACGGUAGGGGCAGAGGGAAUUUCUGGUGGAGCGGUGAAAAGCAUUGAGAUUGGAAAGAACACCAACGGCGAAAGCACUCU